rnacentral:misc_RNA from 1 species
GAUGAAGAACGUAGCGAAAUGCGAUAAGUAAUGUGAAUUGCAGAAUUCAGUGAAUCAUCGAAUCUUUGAACGCACAUUGCGCCCCCUGGUAUUCCGGGGGGCAUGCCUGUUCGAGCGUCAUUUCACCACUCAAGCCUCGCUUGGUAUUGGGCAACGCGGUCCGCCGCGUGCCUCAAAUCGACCGGCUGGGUCUUCUGUCCCCUAAGCGUUGUGGAAACUAUUCGCUAAAGGGUGCUCGGGAGGCUACGCCGUAAAACAAUCCCAUUUCUAAGGUUGACCUCGGAUCAGGUAGGGAUACCCGCUGAACUUAAGCAAAUCAAUAAGCGGAGGA